rnacentral:tRNA from 3 species
UGCAACAGGAGCCUCAAACCCUUGCACAGUGGGCAGUGAGAUAGGACUGAAAAUCCUCGUGUCCGGGGUUCAAAUCCCCGUCCUGGCAUCCA